AGAGUUUGAUCAUGGCUCAGGAUGAAUGCUGGCGGCGUGCCUAACACAUGCAAGUCGAGCGAGCCUUCGGGCUAGCGGCAGACGGGUGAGUAACACGUAGGCAAUCUACCCCAGACACGGGCAUAACUCCGCGAAAGCGGAGCUAAUUCCCGAUAUGCUCACAGGUUGAAAUACCCGUGAGGAAAGUUUUUUCGGUCUGGGAGGAGCCUGCGUCCUAUCAGCUAGUUGGUGAGGUAAUGGCUCACCAAGGCGACGACGGGUAGGGGAUCUGAGAGGAUGUUCCCCCACAGUGGCACUGAGACACGGGCCACACUCCUACGGGAGGCAGCAGUUGGGAAUCGUUCGCAAUGGGCGCAAGCCUGACGACGCGACGCCGCGUGGAGGAAGAAGGCCUUCGGGUCGUAAACUCCUUUUCUUAGGGACGAUAUUGACGGUACCUAAGGAAUAAGGACCGGCUAACUACGUGCCAGCAGCCGCGGUAAGACGUAGGGUCCGAGCAUUAUCCGGAAUCAUUGGGCGUAAAGCGUGGGUAGGUGGUUUCGUAAGUCUUUGGUUAAAGCCCGCAGCUCAACUGCGGAACUGCCAAGGAUACUGCGAAACUAAGAGGUCAGCAGGGGCUAGCAGAAUUCCCGGUGUAGGGGUGAAAUCCGUUGAUAUCGGGAGGAAUACCAGUGGCGAAGGCGGCUAGCUAGGUUGAAACUGACACUGAGCCACGAAAGCGUGGGGAGCGAAACGGAUUAGAUACCCGUGUAGUCCACGCCGUAAACGAUGCACACUAGCUCUCGGGAGUAUCGACCCUCCUCGGAGCGAAGCUAACGCGUUAAGUGUGCCGCCUGGGAAGUACGGCCGCAAGGCUAAAACUCAAAGGAAUUGACGGGGACUCGCACAAGCGGUGGAGCAUGAGGUUUAAUUCGUAACUAAGCGAAGCACCUCACCUGGGUUUGACAUGUAUGGGUGUAGGCGUCCAGAGAUGGGUGCCGACCGUUUAAUCGGAGCCAUACACAGGUGCUGCACGGUCGUCGUCAGCUCGUGCCGUGAGGUGUUCGGUUCAGUCCGGUAACGAGCGCAACCCUUACCCUAUGUUGCAUUUCUCAUAGGGGGCUGCCUCGGUUAACGGGGAGGAAGGUGGGGAUGACGUCAGAUCAGCGUGGCCCUUAUGUCCAGGGCGACACUCGUGCUACAAUGGCCGCUACAGUGGGUCGCCAAGCCGCAAGGCGGAGCUAAUCCCACCAAAAGCGGUCUCAGUUCGGAUUGCAGGCUGCAACUCGCCUGCAUGAAGCCGGAAUCGCUAGUAAUCGUGAAUCAGCCAUGUCACGGUGAAUACGUUCUCGAGUCUUGUACACACCGCCCGUCAAGUGAGCCGAGUCGGCGACACCAGAACAUCGAUUGUGUCGGUGGCAGGUGGGGUCGGUAAGGAGCACUAAGUCGUAACAAG
rnacentral:rRNA from 2 species